rnacentral:rRNA from 1 species
GUGGGGAAUAUUGGUCAAUGGGGGAAACCCUGAACCAGCAACGCCGCGUGAAGGAAGAAGGCUUUCGGGUUGUAAACUUCUUUUACCAGGGACGAAACAAAUGACGGUACCUGGUGAAUAAGCCACGGCUAACUACGUGCCAGCAGCCGCGGUAAUACGUAGGUGGCGAGCGUUAUCCGGAUUUAUUGGGUGUAAAGGGCGUGUAGGCGGGACAGCAAGUCAGAUGUGAAAACCAGAGGCUCAACCUCUGGCCUGCAUUUGAAACUGUUGUUCUUGAGUGUCGGAGAGGUAAUCGGAAUUCCGUGUGUAGCGGUGAAAUGCGUAGAUAUACGGAGGAACACCAGUGGCGAAGGCGGAUUACUGGACGAUAACUGACGCUGAGGCGCGAAAGCGUGGGGAGCAAACAGGAUUAGAUACCCGGGUAGUCC